GGAAUGCUGAGCUGGAAGGAGAAGAGGAUAUCUCAGAGUUCUUAUAUGACUACGCAUCUCGAUUCAGUGAUUACUUGUAUGCGACUGUCGAGUACUAUUCUGAGAACAGCACGAUAUUGCCCACCACGUAUUCCUAUGGGGAAUACCAGGGGUACCCGGAGUACCCGGAGUACCAUGAGGAGUCCCAGGAGGAGGCCCAGGACGAGUCCCAGGAGUCGGUGGGAUCAGCCCUGCGGUGCCACAUCCCCAUCCUCAUCCUCAGCCUCCUGGGCUUGCUGCUAUGACCUCUCCAGCGUGCUCAGAAGGCACAACAGCUUGGAUGGAGACCAGGACACGGGCACGGCGUUGGGAAUGACACCACAUCCUCCAAGCGGAGCCGGCGCCUCCCUUUGCAAUGACUCCAUGUACAAAGCUUGCAGUAGAUGGAUGAUGCUGUCCCGAGCCAUAAACGUUGUGCAAACACUGAGCAGCUUUGUACCGAGCGGGUUC
rnacentral:lncRNA from 14 species